GACGUAGGGCGCGAGCGUUGUCCGGAUUUAUUGGGCGUAAAGAGCUCGUAGGCGGUUUGUCGCGUCGUCCGUGAAAACUUGGGGCUCAACCCCAAGCUUGCGGGCGAUACGGGCAGACUUGAGUACUGCAGGGGAGACUGGAAUUCCUGGUGUAGCGGUGAAAUGCGCAGAUAUCAGGAGGAACACCGGUGGCGAAGGCGGGUCUCUGGGCAGUAACUGACGCUGAGGAGCGAAAGCGUGGGUAGCGAACAGG
rnacentral:rRNA from 1 species